rnacentral:rRNA from 1 species
GAGUUUGAUCCCGGCUCAGAACGAACGCUUGCGGCGUGGAUAAGACAUGCAAGUCGAACGGAGCUUACUUUGUAGCAAUACAAAAUAAGUCGAGUGGCGCACGGGUGAGUAACACGUGGGCAACCUACCGAGAAGUGGGGGAUAGCUCGCCGAAAGGCGAAUUAAUACCGCAUACCGCCAUCCAGUUAUGCUGGAGACGCGAAAGUAGCAAUACGCUUCUUGAUGGGCCCGCGGCCUAUCAGCUUGUUGGUGAGGUAAUGGCUCACCAAGGCUAUGACGGGUAGCUGGUCUGAGAGGAC